rnacentral:rRNA from 1 species
UACGUAGGGGGCAAGCGUUGUCCGGAUUCAUUGGGCGUAAAGGGCGUGUAGGCGGCUAGGUAGGUCGGUUGUGAAAACUGGAGGCUCAACCUUCAGAGGUCUACCGAAACCAUCUGGCUAGAGUCCGGGAGAGGAGAGUGGAAUUCCUGGUGUAGCGGUGAAAUGCGCAGAUAUCAGGAAGAACACCCGUGGCGAAAGCGGCUCUCUGGAACGGUACUGACGCUGAGACGCGAAAGCGUGGGGAGCGAACAGG